rnacentral:rRNA from 1 species
AUUGAACGCUGGCGGCAGGCCUAACACAUGCAAGUCGAACGCGAAAGCACUUCGGUGUGAGUAGAGUGGCGGACGGGUGAGUAACGCGUGGGAAUCUACCUAGUAGUGGAGGAUAACUCGGGGAAACUCGAGCUAAUACUGCAUACGCCCUACGGGGGAAAGCGGGGGAUCUUCGGACCUCGUGCUAUUGGAUGAGCCCGCGUUAGAUUAGCUUGUUGGUGAGGUAAUGGCUCACCAAGGCGACGAUCUAUAGCUGGUCUGAGAGGAUGAUCAGCCACAUUGGGACUGAGACACGGCCCAAACUCCUACGGGAGGCAGCAGUGGGGAAUAUUGCGCAAUGGGCGAAAGCCUGACGCAGCCAUGCCGCGUGUGUGAAGAAGGCCUUCGGGUUGUAAAGCACUUUCAAUAGGGAGGAAAGGUUGUAGUUUAAUACGCUGCAGCUGUGACGUUACCUAUAGAAGAAGGACCGGCUAACUCCGUGCCAGCAGCCGCGGUAAUACGGAGGGUCCGAGCGUUAAUCGGAAUUACUGGGCGUAAAGCGCGCGUAGGCGGCUUUGUUAGUCAGAUGUGAAAGCCCUGGGCUCAACCUAGGAACUGCAUUUGAUACUGCGAAGCUAGAGUAUGGUAGAGGAUAGUGGAAUUCCAGGUGUAGCGGUGAAAUGCGUAGAUAUCUGGAGGAACAUCAGUGGCGAAGGCGACUGUCUGGACCAAUACU